rnacentral:rRNA from 1 species
AGUGAACGCUGGCGGUAGGCCUAACACAUGCAAGUCGAACGGCAGCACAGUAAGAGCUUGCUCUUACGGGUGGCGAGUGGCGGACGGGUGAGGAAUACAUCGGAAUCUACUUUUUCGUGGGGGAUAACGUAGGGAAACUUACGCUAAUACCGCAUCCGACCUACGGGUGAAAGCAGGGGAUCUUCGGACCUUGCGCGAUUGAAUGAGCCGAUGUCGGAUUAGCUAGUUGGGGGGGUAAUGGCCCACCAAGGCGACGAUCCGUAGCUGGUCUGAGAGGAUGAUCAGCCACACUGGAACGGAGACACGGUCCAGACUCCUACGGGAGGAAGCAGUGGGGAAUAUUGGACAAUGGGCGCAAGCCUGAUCCAGCCAUACCGCGUGGGUGAAGAAGGCCUUCGGGUUGUAAAGCCCUUUUGUUGGGAAAGAAAAGCAGCAGGUUAAUACCCCGCUGUUCUGACGGUACCCAAAGAAUAAGCACCGGCUAACUUCGUG